CCAAGUUUACUAAAAUAUUUCAUACAUUUUUACGUUUUUCCUCCGUUUUUAUUUACUUACAUUUUAUUGGAAAAAAUAUCAGGAAAAUCAAAAAUAACCAUUUUAACAAUGUUUUGUUAUCAUUCAAAGUAGAUCAAAAUAUUAGGGAUAGUUUUUUAAGUAUCUACCAUGUGAGACAUCAAUAAAAAAGCAUAUAUAUCGUUUAU